GUGGGGAAUAUUGGACAAUGGGGGGAACCCUGAUCCAGCCAUGCCGCGUGUGUGAAGAAGGCCUUUUGGUUGUAAGGCACUUUAAGCGAGGAGGAGGCUACCGAGACUAAUACUCUUGGAUAGUGGACGUUACUCGCAGAAUAAGCACCGGCUAACUCUGUGCCAGCAGCCGCGGUAAUACAGAGGGUGCAAGCGUUAAUCGGAUUUACUGGGCGUAAAGCGCGCGUAGGUGGCCAAUUAAGUCAAAUGUGAAAUCCCCGAGCUUAACUUGGGAAUUGCAUUCGAUACUGGUUGGCUAGAGUAUGGGAGAGGAUGGUAGAAUUCCAGGUGUAGCGGUGAAAUGCGUAGAGAUCUGGAGGAAUACCGAUGGCGAAGGCAGCCAUCUGGCCUAAUACUGACACUGAGGUGCGAAAGCAUGGGGAGCAAACAGGAUUAGAAACCCGUGUAGUCC
rnacentral:rRNA from 1 species